UACGUAGGUGGCGAGCGUUAUCCGGAAUUACUGGGCGUAAAGCGCGUGUAGGCGGCACUGUAAGUCAGAUGUGAAAUCCCCGGGCUCAACCGGGGGCGUGCAUCUGAAACUGCAGUGCUUGAGUGAUAGAGAGGAAAGCGGAAUUCCUAGUGUAGCGGUAAAAUGCGUAGAUAUUAGGAGGAAUACCGGUGGCGAAGGCGGCUUUCUGGAAUCUUACUGACGCUGAGGUACGAAAGCGUGGGGAGCAAACAGG
rnacentral:rRNA from 1 species